ACCUGGGAGGACAGAUACACAUAAGGAGCAUGUUACCAACACCAAGAACAUGGAUGGGCUCAUACCCCCGUGCUGGAGCCUCCUGAAGGGUCUGUGGUGGGCUGGUAUGGAGCUGAAGACCUGAGCUGGUAGAAUCUGUCCCUGGAGGCACAAAGCCCAGCGUCUAAUCCCCAAUAUCAGGUGUGCAAGCCUAUAACCCCAACACUCAGGAGAUGGAGGCAGGACAAGCAGAAGUUCAAGGUCAUUGUUGACUACCUGGACAGCCCAGUCUGAAUACAAUCUCCGCAGAGUGGGUACACUCACCCCAGUAGACACAGACUGCCACAGGACAGCCAGGUGAGGGCGCCGGCAUUGUAGGACAGCUGGGUCACGAUCAUCUUGCUGCAGGACGGACAGCACAUCUGGACA